rnacentral:lncRNA from 1 species
UCGGCCGCCUCUGGGUCCCGCUUGAAAUUCUGUAGAAGCCUGAAAGCUCGCGGAGCGCGGACUCCGAGUGAGUUUGAGGAUGUGUGCGGCUGGUGGCUGCGCCGGGGCCCCCGCGGAGAAGGUGGGGGGCCCCGACACCCGCUUGCUUGGACCGUGCGCUAUGAGAAGAUGCUUCCCCUGAAGGGAAUGGAGUACCAAUCACUGGCACUAUUGGAAAAACUGAUAGAAGGCUGUGGAUUACAGACAGAUGAGGAAACUGAGGCACUGAGGACUUCAGGAACUUGCCCACUGUUUCACAGCCAGGAAGAGGCAGAUUGCAGAUUUGGAGCCCAGAGAGUGCUGUUCUUAGUGUACACUGCCUCCUUGAUGCUGCUGGUCUCCCCCGGUGCCACCUCCAGCUUCGGGCUCCAGAACCUUCACGGUCAGGCUCUGGGUUCUGACCUUUUCCUGUCUUCAGCAACUAAAGAAUAAGAAGCAGGCAGAGACACAGAUGCUCCACGGCAGCCCUCCACGGACACCCAGCAAGCGGCGAGGUCUGGCACCCAGCACUCUGGGCAAAGUGCGCAAGGUUCUAAGCUCCCAGGAUUCCAUUAUCACUGAGAUGCUAAGAGUGAACAGAUGUAAAGUGUCAAAAGCUAAAUGAGAAAAAGAAGAGAACGGUCAUUCGGAGCCCCAGCAAGUAUCAUGGAACGCCCUGGAAUGUGCCCAGGAAACUAGAGUCACCGGAGGCUCACUUCAAAAGCUGGUCUUCAGUUGCGGCUGAGCAAAGUCCCGGCCUGCGGGUUCCAGCCCGUUGACACUGGAUCACGAAACACAAAUAGGUGUCAUUACUUCUACCAGUUUGAGGAGAAAAACACCCGCUGGUGUCAAGCCUGGAACCAAUGAGAAGAACCUGGAGCUCAUUGGCAGCAUCCUCAGUGAAGGAUCCGUCCCUUUCUGACAGCUCCACUGUUGGGCUUCAGGCACUGUUUGCACUACUGGAAGCAAAAGCACAGAGGAAUCAACACCAUCUUCAACUGGUGGGACAGGUUUCCUUGCUGUGCUCCUCUGAUGGAUGUGCAAGAUCAAGGAAUAUUCGGCAGGAGGGCGAGAGGGAGAGAAGUCUCCCGGGGAGAUGGUAAGGCGCUGCAUCGAGAUUCUUACCUGUUUCACAGAGGGACUUAAAGCUGACAUAUGUGUCCCUAACAAAGACAGAGUCAGGUAGGAAGAGUCCUGCUCAGUGAUUUUUUGCUUUGGCUUCAGGUAAUUUGUUUUUGACUCAUCCAACAGCCCUGACAGAAUGAAAGAAUAGGCAUCAAGAAGUCAUGAGUUCCCGUUGUGUCUCAGCAGGUUGAGAACCUGGCAUAGUGUCCACAAGGAUGGGGGUUAGAUGCCUGGCCUCACUCAGUGGAGUUAAGGAUCCAGCACCACCACAAGCUGUGGCGUAGGUCGAAUAUGCUGCUCAGAUCUGGAUCCAGCAUUGCUGUGGCUGAGGUAUAGGGCUGCAGCUGCAGCUCCCAUUCAGCCUCUCGCCCAGGAACUUCCACAUGCCACAGGUACAGCAGUAAAAAGAAAAAGAAAAAAAGAAUCAAGAAGCGAGAAACUCUCUCUCUUCCCUGCUUAGCUAUGAGCAUAGAGAGUAAAGGUAGAUUAGGAUGAGAGUCAGAGGUCUUCAGUCUAGUGCAGUGGUGAACAAAACUGCAGGCCUAGUUUGAAUUUAUGUGCCCCAGACAAGCCUAGCUUUGCUAAGGCCGUUCCGUUUUCUGUCUUUGAACUGUUGUUACAGAACAAAACUUGGGUCUGUUCGCCCACUGCUCAGUAAAACCACUGUACUGACCCUGAGUUGUGGUGGAGAAAAUACGGCAUUAUUGUCCAUGCCACGCAGAGUGUGUGGGCACGUCAUGCUCAAAAGGCUCCAACUCCCAGCGGCUUUGGGGCAAAGGUUUUGAAGACAGUGGUAGGGAGAGGGUCACAGGACGCGUCGCCAGCUCGUCGUCCCUCUUCUGAUUGGUCAGUGGGGAUGUAACAGGGCUUCCUCACCCUGAUGUUUCAAGAAUCUCCACCUUCAGGUUCCAGCCAGUCUGGGGUCCACAUGCGUGUGGUCAGUUUAUAGUCACCACCCUCUGCCACCUGGUGGAAGGCGGUCUUACUUUCUGCAGAACAACUCGAAGGUAUGCAUCAGACGUUUAUCCGUAGCCCCCCAGGAGGGACUGGGAGGCCUCUGCCUUUUGUCCUGAUCUUUAGCUGCUUGAGUCAGGUCUUUGGAACUCAGGGAGGCUCUAGGAGACAAAAGCCUUUUUCUUCUCCUACGAAUAAGAGACAGGGACACAGAGGGGUUUCGUACCUGGGAAGUUCCCAGAGGACCCUGCCGCUGCAGCCCCUCCCUUCCCUUGAUGCUCCUCGGUCUUGAAGGGGAACAGGUGCUGCAGGAAAGGGAAUAAAGUCUUGGAUGGAGACGUUAGUCCUACA